rnacentral:lncRNA from 1 species
UAAAUUUUGUUCAGGUAGCUUGCGGUUUUGGAGUUUGAUUGGUGGAUUUUGUGCUUAUACUUCACAAAAAGAAAAUUCAGAGUCAAAUAUUGUACAACUCCACUUCGAUAGUAAUUCUGAAAAACUUAUUGUUGUCACAGAAGAACAUAAUAUAAUUGUGUAUAACCCCAUAUCAUUGAAACCAAUUUUAAAGUUUGUUGGUCAUUUUGAUGAAAUUUUGGACCUAAAAUUUUUCGGUGAAAACGAAGAGUACAUUGGGAUGGCAACUAAUAGCAAUCAGAUCAAUAUUAUGCAGAGAGGAUUACUUUCUUCUCACAUGUUGAAAGGACAUAGUGAUAUUGUGUUAUCAAUUGAUGUAAGUUUCAAUGGCAAAUAUCUGGCUUCUUCUUCUAAAG